UAGGUUUUACUGUCUGUAAGAUUGACUUUGGGACAUUGGUACUUAUCGUCCUUCUUCUGAACUUUGGCUGCUAUCUUUUGUUUUACAUAAGAAUGAAGUGCAAGAAACACGCGAGGAUCAAAGUGUCGCUCGUAAUUUUCGCACUUGCAAUUUUCACAUGGGCCGGUGCCGGCUACUGUUUCUUUCGCAGCCAGUCUUCGUGGAAGGAUCACCAGAAACUUCUCGGAGAAGAACGAGCCAUGUGCGUUUCUGGGUUUCUUUGAUUUUCAUGAUGUCUGGCAUUUCCUGUCUGCUAUUGCCCUCUUCCUUUCUUUACUGAUGUUGCUGACUAUUGAUGAUGACUUGAUUGACUCGGAUGUUUACCGUUGGGCUGAACCGGUGGACAGCGGUGAAGACGAAGCUUCUCGGCAAAGCACGAGCAGUGACUCUAGCAGUUAACCUUCAGUAACGGUAGUAUCCCAUAUAACGGUUAAAAGUUGACUGUAGAGACCAGAUAAAUAAUUUUCUUUGUCAUCAGAAGUUAUAAGUCCCUAAG